rnacentral:rRNA from 1 species
UACGAAGGGGGCUAGCGUUGCUCGGAAUUACUGGGCGUAAAGGGCGCGUAGGCGGGUGUUUAAGUCAGAGGUUAAAUCCCAGGGCUCAACCCUGGAACUGCCUUUGAUACUGGGCACCUAGAGUUCGGGAGAGGUGUGUGGAACUCCGAGUGUAGAGGUGAAAUUCGUAGAUAUUCGGAAGAACACCAGUGGCGGAGGCGACACACUGGCCCGAUACUGACGCUGAGGCGCGAAAGCGUGGGGAGCAAAUAGG